rnacentral:rRNA from 1 species
UACGUAGGGCGCAAGCGUUAUCCGGAAUUAUUGGGCGUAAAGAGCUCGUAGGCGGUUUGUCGCGUCUGCUGUGAAAACCCAGGGCUUAACCCUGGGCCUGCAGUGGGUACGGGCAAACUAGAGUGCGGUAGGGGAGAUCGGAAUUCCUGGUGUAGCGGUGAAAUGCGCAGAUAUCAGGAGGAACACCGGUGGCGAAGGCGGAUCUCUGGGCCGUAACUGACGCUGAGGAGCGAAAGCAUGGGUAGCGAACAGG